CACGUAGGCACCAAGCGUUAUCCGGAUUUAUUGGGCGUAAAGAGCGUGUAGGCGGUCCGGUAAGUCGGCUGUGAAAGUCCAGGGCUCAACCCUGGGAUGCCGGUCGAUACUGCCGGACUAGAGUUCGGAAGAGGCGAGUGGAAUUCCCGGUGUAGCGGUGAAAUGCGCAGAUAUCAGGAGGAACACCGGUGGCGAAGGCGGUUCUCUGGGCCUGUACUGACGCUGAGGAACGAAAGCGUGGGGAGCGAACAGG
rnacentral:rRNA from 1 species